GCUGCGGUAUUAGAGGUGGUUACGCAAACGUUUGAAUUUGUCAAGCGCUUGACUGAGUGUAAACAAAUGGUAGCGUGGCGAGACACUGUGGUUUCUCCUGGACAUAUACCUCCAAAUUAAUUAAUUUGUAACGAAUGCCAACUCUCUGUGGUGUGCCAGGAUGUUGUAGAGGUCGUGGACACUCAUUAUUUUCAGAUCUAGACAUUUGUUUGAGACGAAAAGUGACGCUAAAUCGGUCAUGAAGAUGAUCAGCUGAUUAUCGAAGUUCGGUAAACACGAUGUCGCUUGUCACCAGAAUUUCAGAGUCGGCGAUAUCAAGGAUUAGAUUUUUGGAGAUAAAAGUAGACUAAAGAAGGAUGCAGUAAACUUGACAUCCAGUUUUGGACUUUAAAACUCAAGCAAUACAAGUCCUACAGCUCCGUGGCUGCAGUCAAGACAAGAAGAAGGUACAAGACUGAACUGUUCCUCACGAGUUGUGAACUAAAGUGUGCAUCAGGAAGUUUAGACCAAUACCCCAAUGAUGACUAGCAGUCACUGUGAUGUUUCUUUAAGAUCAGCCAUAUUCUUUGACAAAGAGAUGAAAAAUUCAGUGCAAGCAUUUAAGCUGUUAAUCUUUCUCAUAUUGUUUUUGGUGGAAUCCCUUCAAAUAAGAAUGAGUAGCAAUUAUUAGUAUAGAGUAAUAGCAUUAUCAUGAC